rnacentral:rRNA from 1 species
UACGUAGGCAGCGAGCGUUGUUCGGAAUUACUGGGCGUAAAGAGUGUGUAGGCGGUGCUCCAAGUCUGUUGUGAAAUCUCCCGGCUCAACUGGGAGGGUGCGGCGGAAACUGGGGUGCUAGAGUAUGGGAGAGGGCAGUGGAAUUCCCGGUGUAGCGGUGAAAUGCGUAGAUAUCGGGAGGAACAUCAGUGGCGAAGGCGGCUGCCUGGCCCAAUACUGACACUCAGGUGCGACAGCGUGGGGAGCAAACAGG